CGACCGGCGCACGGGUGAGUAACGCGUGGGUAACCUGCCUCAUACAGGGGGAUAACAGUUAGAAAUGACUGCUAAUACCGCAUAAGACCACAGCACCGCAUGGUGCGGGGGUAAAAACUCCGGUGGUAUGAGAUGGACCCGCGUCUGAUUAGCUGGUUGGUAAGGUAACGGCUUACCAAGGCGACGAUCAGUAGCCGACCUGAGAGGGUGACCGGCCACAUUGGGACUGAAACACGGCCCAA
rnacentral:rRNA from 1 species